rnacentral:rRNA from 1 species
AGCAGCCGCGGUAAAUUCCAGCUCCAAUAGCGUAUAUUAAAGUUGUUGCAGUUAAAAAGCUCGUAGUUGAAUUUCGGGGUCAGCAGGUUGGUCGUGCCACCGGUAUGAACUGGCCUUGCUGAUUCCUCCUUCUUGAAGAACCGUGAUGCCAUUAAUUUGGUGUUGCGGGGAAACAGGACUGUUACUUUGAAAAAAUUAGAGUGUUUAAAGCAGGCUAACGCUUGAAUACAUUAGCAUGGAAUAAUAAAAUAGGACGUUUGAUCCUAUUUUGUUGGUUUCUAGGGUUGACGUAAUGAUUAAUAGGGAUAGUUGGGGGCAUUAGUAUUCAAUUGUCAGAGGUGAAAUUCUUGGAUUUAUUGAAGACUAACUACUGCGAAAGCAUUUGCCAAGGAUGUUUUCA